GCCUGGGUGGCUCAGUCGGUUGAGCGUCCGACUUCAGCUCAGGUCACGAUCUCUCCGUCCGUGAGUUCGAGCCCCGCGUCAGGCU
rnacentral:tRNA from 1 species